rnacentral:tRNA from 1 species
GUCCAGGGAUGGGAAGCGAACCCACAGUGUUCCGCUUACCGGGCAGAUGCCAUGUCCACUAGGCUACCCUGGA